AACGAACGCUGGCGGCAGGCUUAACACAUGCAAGUCGAGCGCCCCGCAAGGGGAGCGGCAGACGGGUGAGUAACGCGUGGGAAUCUACCCAUCCCUACGGAAUAGCUCCGGGAAACUGGAAUUAAUACCGUAUACGCCCUACGGGGGAAAGAUUUAUCGGGGAUGGAUGAGCCCGCGUUGGAUUAGCUAGUUGGUGGGGUAAAGGCCUACCAAGGCGACGAUCCAUAGCUGGUCUGAGAGGAUGAUCAGCCACAUUGGGACUGAGACACGGCCCAAACUCCUACGGGAGGCAGCAGUGGGGAAUAUUGGACAAUGGGGGCAACCCUGAUCCAGCCAUGCCGCGUGAGUGAUGAAGGCCUUAGGGUUGUAAAGCUCUUUCACCGGGGAAGAUAAUGACGGUACCCGGAGAAGAAGCCCCGGCUAACUUCGUGCCAGCCGCCGCUGUAA
rnacentral:rRNA from 1 species